UUUCGCAAUGCCCGAAAGGGUGACGAAGCGACGCCGCGUGAGUGAGGAAGGCCUUCGGGUUGUAAAGCUCUGUCAGGAGUUAAGAAAUAUAAGUGUGUUAAUACCACAUUUAUUUGACGAAGGCUCCAAAGGAAGCCACGGCUAACUCUGUGCCAGCAGCCGCGGUAACACAGAGGUGGCAAGCGUUGUUCGGAAUUAUUGGGCGUAAAGAGCACGUAGGUGGGUUUGUAAGUCAGAUGUGAAAGCCUUCUGUUCAACGGAAGAAUUGCAUCUGAAACUGCGAGUCUUGAGUGUAGGAGGGGAGAAUGGAACUUCUGGUGGAGCGGUGAAAUGCGUAGAUAUCAGAAGGAACGCCGGCGGCGAAAGCGAUUCUCUGGCCUAUUACUGACACUCAGUGUGCGAAAGCUAGGGGAGCAAACGGGAUUAGAUACCCCGGUGGUCCUAGCUGUAAACGAUGGGCACUAAGUAGAGGGGUUUUA
rnacentral:rRNA from 1 species